GUGGGGGACAUUCCACGUUUUCCGCGCCGUAGCUAACGCAUUAAGUGCCCCGCCUGGGGAGUACGGCCGCAAGGCUAAAACUCAAAGGAAUUGACGGGGGCCCGCACAAGCGGCGGAGCAUGCGGAUUAAUUCGAUGCAACGCGAAGAACCUUACCAAGGCUUGACAUGAACCGGAAAGACCUGGAAACAGGUGCCCCGCUUGCGGUCGGUUUACAGGUGGUGCAUGGUUGUCGUCAGCUCGUGUCGUGAGAUGUUGGGUUAAGUCCCGCAACGAGCGCAACCCUCGUUCUAUGUUGCCAGCGGUUCGGCCGGGGACUCAUAGGAGACUGCCGGGGUCAACUCGGAGGAAGGUGGGGACGACGUCAAAUCAUCAUGCCCCUUAUGUCUUGGGCUUCACGCAUGCUACAAUGGCCGGUACAAAGGGUUGCGAUACUGUGAGGUGGAGCUAAUCCCAAAAAGCCGGUCUCAGUUCGGAUUGGGGUCUGCAACUCGACCCCAUGAAGUCGGAGUCGCUAGUAAUCGCAGAUCAGCAACGCUGCGGUGAAUACGUUCCCGGGCCUUGCACC
rnacentral:rRNA from 1 species